rnacentral:rRNA from 1 species
AUUGAACGCUGGCGGCAUGCCCUACACAUGCAAGUCGAACGGCAGCACGGGAGCUUGCUCCUGGUGGCGAGUGGCGAACGGGUGAGUAAUACAUCGGAACGUACCCAGGAGUGGGGGAUAACGUAGCGAAAGUUACGCUAAUACCGCAUAUUCUGUGAGCAGGAAAGCGGGGGAUCGCAAGACCUCGCGCUCUUGGAGCGGCCGAUGUCGGAUUAGCUAGUUGGUGAGGUAAAAGCUCACCAAGGCGACGAUCCGUAGCAGGUCUGAGAGGAUGAUCUGCCACACUGGGACUGGGACACGGCCCAGACUCCUACGGGAGGCAGCAGUGGGGAAUUUUGGACAAUGGGGGCAACCCUGAUCCAGCCAUGCCGCGUGAGUGAAGAAGGCCUUCGGGUUGUAAAGCUCUUUCGGCGGGGAAGGAAUGGCAACGGCUAAUAUCCGUUGUUGAUGACGGUACCCGCAUAAGAAGCACCGGCUAACUACGUGCCAGCCGCCGCAGUAA